CAGGAAGCAUCCAAAGGGAUCGCAUUGAUCCCACUUUGUAGCAAUUUUUUCUGUUUCUUUUUCUUUUUUUUUACCUUUUCAUGUUUUCUUUUUUACCCUCUUCUGCUAUGGAAUUUGGAUCAUGCCAUCUCUUUGGAUUCCUCCUGC
rnacentral:pre_miRNA from 1 species